rnacentral:rRNA from 1 species
CGGCGAAACUGCGAAUGGCUCAUUAAAUCAGUUAUCGUAUAUUUGAUAGUACCUACUACAUGGAUAACCGUGGUAAUUCUAGAGCUAAUACAUGCUUAAAAUCCCGACUUCGGAAGGGAUGUAUUUAUUAGAUUAAAAACCAAUGCCCUUCGGGGCUCACUGGUGAUUCAUAAUAACUUCUCGAAUCGCAUGGCCUUGUGCCGGCGAUGGUUCAUUCAAAUUUCUGCCCUAUCAACUUUCGACGGCUGGGUCUUGGCCAGCCGUGGUUACAACGGGUAACGGAGGGUUAGGGCUUGACCCCGGAGAAGGAGCCUGAGAAACGGCUACUACAUCCAAGGAAGGCAGCAGGCGCGCAAAUUACCCAAUCCCGACACGGGGAGGUAGUGACAAUAAAUACUGAUACAGGGCUCUUUUGGGUCUUGUAAUUGGAAUGAGUACAAUUUAAAUCCCUUAACGAGGAACAAUUGGAGGGCAAGUCUGGUGCCAGCAGCCGCGGUAAUUCCAGCUCCAAUAGCGUAUAUUAAAGUUGUUGCAGUUAAAAAGCUCGUAGUUGAACCUUGGGCCUGGCUGGCCGGUCUGCCUCACCGCAUGCACUGGUCCGGCCGGGCCUUUCCCUCUGGGGAUCCGCAUGCCCUUCACUGGGUGUGUCGGGGAACCAGGACUUUUACUGUGAAAAAAUUAGAGUGUUCAAAGCAGGCCUAUGCUCGAAUACAUUAGCAUGGAAUAAUAGAAUAGGACGUUGCGGUUCUAUUUUGUUGGUUUCUAGGACCGCCGUAAUGAUUAAUAGGGACAGUCGGGGGCGUCAGUAUUCAAUCGUCAGAGGUGAAAUUCUUGGAUCGAUUGAAGACUAACUACUGCGAAAGCAUUCGCCAAGGAUGUUUUCAUUAAUCAGGAACGAAAGUUAGGGGAUCGAAAACGAUCAGAUACCGUUGUAGUCUUAACCAUAAACUAUGCCGACUAGGGAUCGGGCGAUGUUAUUUCUUGACUCGCUCGGCACCUUACACGAAAGUAAAG